AGCAGCAGCCGCGGUAAUACAGAGGGUGCGAGCGUUAAUCGGAUUUACUGGGCGUAAAGCGUGCGUAGGUGGUGGUUUAAGUCCGUUGUGAAAGCCCUGGGCUCAACCUGGGAAUUGCAGUGGAUACUGGGUCACUAGAGUGUGGUAGAGGAUAGUGGAAUUUCCGGUGUAGCAGUGAAAUGCGUAGAGAUCGGAAGGAACAUCUGUGGCGAAGGCGACUAUCUGGGCCAACACUGACACUGAGGCACGAAAGCGUGGGGAGCAAACAGGAUUAGAUACCCCAGUAGUCCCUGUCUCUUAUAC
rnacentral:rRNA from 1 species